UUGUAAGUAAAAAGCGUACAAAGGUUUCCGUAGGUGACCCUGCGAAAGGUUCUUGGUCGAGACCCGAACGGACGUCCUUGAAUCCGUAAA
rnacentral:rRNA from 1 species